rnacentral:rRNA from 1 species
GAUGAACGCUGGCGGCGUGCCUAAUACAUGCAAGUCGAGCGAACAGACGAGGAGCUUGCUCCUCUGACGUUAGCGGCGGACGGGUGAGUAACACGUGGAUAACCUACCUAUAAGACUGGGAUAACUUCGGGAAACCGGAGCUAAUACCGGAUAAUAUAUUGAACCGCAUGGUUCAAUAGUGAAAGACGGUUUUGCUGUCACUUAUAGAUGGAUCCGCGCCGCAUUAGCUAGUUGGUAAGGUAACGGCUUACCAAGGCAACGAUGCGUAGCCGACCUGAGAGGGUGAUCGGCCACACUGGAACUGAGACACGGUCCAGACUCUUACGGGAGGCAGCAAUAGGGAAUCUUCCGCAAUGGGCGAAAGCCUGACGGAGCAACGCCGCGUGAGUGAUGAAGGUCUUCGGAUCGUAAAACUCUGUUAUUAGGGAAGAACAAAUGUGUAAGUAACUAUGCACGUCUUGACGGUACCUAAUCAGAAAGCCACGGCUAACUACGUG